rnacentral:lncRNA from 1 species
UUUUUUUUUUUUUUUUCAGCCAGACUGCAGUGGGUGAGACUGGGUGCUGGGUGCUAGGAAAUGUCAAAAGCUAAGAAACAGCCAGAUGAGGUAGGAAGCUGAAGAAUAGUUAAGAGGUUACCAUAAUAAUUCAGAUAAGAACUGACAGAAGAUAAUGGAAGCUUAGACGCAAGUGAAAGCAAUGGAUAUGGAGAGAAAUGUACUGAGGAUGUAUGUCUGAGGUAGAGUAUAGCGAGCAGGGGAAAUGGAGAGAAAAGGCCCACUCCGGGGUUCCUGUCCUGAAUAUCUAUCUGAGUGAAAGGAGGUACCACAUACUGAGGAAGAAUGAAGAAAAAACAGUUUUCACAGGGAGAAAACCAAGACUCCUGCUUUGGCCAUUUUAAGUGUGAAAUGCCUCUGUUUGUUUUGGCUGAAAUUCCCAGGCCAGGGAUAGAACCCAUGCCACGGCUGUAACCAGAGCCCCAGGAGUGACAAUGCUAGAUCCUUAACCCACUGAGCCAUGAGGGAGCUCCUGAAAUGCCUAUUUGUUAUUCAAGGAGAGAAGGGUUAAGCUGACAUCUAGAUAUCUAAAUUUAUAGCUCAGUGAAAAGGUCAGAGCUGGCAAAAUAAGUUUGCAUAUAGAUGGUAUCUAAACCCAGGGAUUCGAUGAUACAGAGUAGAAAAAAAAAGAGAAGAGCUGAAGUCAAGCCCCAGACCUGAGCCUUGGAGCAUUCCAACAUUUAAGGGUAAAACGGAGGAGCUGCAGCCCAUGGAUGAAGCAAGGAGCAAGAGACUGGGAGAGCAUGCUGUCAGGGAAGCCACGGAUAGACAGCGUAUGCAUGAAGAGGAUGCAGUGGUCAACUGAGUAAAUGCUUCAGUCUAACCCAGAGGACUGACUAUUGCCUUGGCAAAGCGGAGGUGUUUGGUAAUCCUGACAAGAGCAGUUUCAGGGGAGUGUGUAAUGAAAACCUAGUUAGGGUCAGGAGAGGUAAGCUGAAAUGUGAGGGAGCUUUUAAGAUGCUUUCUGUGAUGUGUGAGAGACAUGGCAGAAGGGGCUGUGAGGCUCAGGAAGGGUUUUAUCUUGUUUAAAGAUAGAAGACAAAAGAGAAUGUUCAUAUGCUGAUGAAAGAUCCAGUAGUAAGAGAAUGGUGGUGCCGACGACGUGGGAAAUGAAGGUAUGACAAAGUAAUUUUGGAGAGUAAGAGAACAAGAUUAUUUGUGAAGUAUGGCAAGAUCUUUGCAUAGUACCUAUUUGACAUUUGGGACAACAAACCAAAAAGGAAAUUAGCAGCAGUUGUAGGUUUUUCUCCAGCCCCAUUCAGCUGUUAGGUGCCAGCACAGGGUCGGGNACUCCCAGGUGAUUAUAACAGAGGGAGGGUAGCUGAAGGAGUCCAUUUAAUUACAAAGCAGCAAUUGCUAAUGACUGGCUUUGAUAAAUUCAAUUCCCAGCGCAAUAUGAGUGUUUUUAUUAAAUGUUUGAUGCAUGACACAAGUCUGGAAUGGAGUUUUAUCACCUCCUAGAACAGCAAGUUACACACCGUCAGCUUAAGUCAAAAUUUCCUUCACAGAAGAUAAAUACUAAACUUUAGGUCAUUUCCUUAUAACUUUUGUUAACGUGCUAACAAUAGUACCUGGCAUUGAGUAAUUGCUCAAUAUAAUUUAGUUGCAGUACUGCUUCCUAAGCACAAUUUUUUUUUUCUUUUCCUCCUUCUGUUAUUCAACAACCAUUUCUUCAACACUUACUGUGCCAGGCACUGCACUUUACACUAGAGAUAAGACAAGGCUAACAGGUUUUAUGGUAUAUUAGGGAACACAGAUAGUAUACAAAUAACUACACUUAGUGAGCAUUUAAGUUGUCGUGAGAAACACUGUAAGGAUUGACCAAUGUUACACCAACAUAAAAUGCAGAUGUUGGAAUGAUUAUGUUUUUAAAUUUUUAAACCUUCAUAAAAAUGUUUAAAGAACCUGUGGUUUCGAAGUUUACCAUUCUGAUUUAUUCUUUUUGUGUAUGAGAAAUACUAACUCAGAGUAAAAAUCUAAAACAUAAGAAAAAUCUUCUCACAUAGAAAAGGAGUAAGAAGGUGCAGGCCGAUAGGGUAGGUUGAAAACAGACCAAACUGUCCAUAAACUUGGACUGAAAUAUAUUUGAUCCUGUAAUGUUGGGCUCAAUAUUACAAUUCCUCAGGAAGUUGUCUUUUAUUUUUAUUUUUUUGUCUUUUUAGGUCCCCAUCUGCAGCAUAUGGAGGUUCCCAGGCUAGGGGUCGAAUCGGAGCUGUAGCUGCCAGCCUACGCCACAGCCACAGCAAGGCCAGAUCUGAUGCUCGUCUGCAACCUACAGGGCAGCUCACAGCAAUGCUGGAUCCUUAACCCACUGAGCAAGGCCAGGGAAUCGAACCCGGAACGUCAUGGUUCCUAGUUGGAUCCAUUUCCACUGUGCCCCGACGGGAACUCCUCAGGAAGUAUUUUUUAGGUGUUAAGUUUAUGACAAGCAUUACGAUGAGAGGAGAAAAGCAGCCCCUGGCAUCUGGGAAGUGGCUUGUGACUAUCAGUGAGGUCUUGCUGUUCUCUUGCAGAACAUAAAUUUAAUUUCACAGAACAUCAGUAUUAGGCAAGGUCACUCUAUGACCCUGAUGAAAUAAGACAGACAAGAUCUCUUCAUAAUUUUGUCUAAGUACAGAUAAAAACCAUGUUACAACGCAAAGCACAAAAUACCAAAUGUCCCCUGCCCACCUAGGUGACUGCUGCUUCUUUACCAAUUACAGCUUUAACUCCCCUUCAUUUUUUCCACCUUCUGAACAAGCUCUAUUAAGAUACCCAGUCAUAAAAUUACCCCCCUGCCUGAGAGAAUGCAAUCCAGAGCAAACUCUUCUUUCCUUGAACUUCUAAGUCACUUAACACAAGCCCCAAUGCAAUAAGGCCUUUUGAGCACCCUUUUGCAGAACACUUCCACUGAUAAACCCUACCGUGUGUGCUCUAGUUUCAACAAAAAAUAAACCCACUUUUGUUCAACUCCCUUGUGUUCCUAGUAGUCUUACAUUCGGUGGCAUUGUUAAUAGAAUACAUGCAUUACAUUAUUUAAUACUCACAGCUAUUUCUUGAAACAAGUGCUACUAUAAAUCUACUUUACAAAUCAGAAAACAGAGGAACAGAACUGUUGAGUAACACUUCCAAGGUCACACAGCCAGAAAGUGGCAGUCAGAAGAGUUCAGGUUUGACUCAAGAGAUUCCUUGAUACUGUUCCAGAUAACAGCCAGAAUUGUUAGGAUAGUCUUUCAGUUAAACAAAGGCCAAAACUGUUUUUCUAUACCACUAUACUUCCCAUCUUACCUAUUAUUUGGUCUUACUGCUAAAAUAGUAAAUUCUUCAGUGAGAGAUCCGAGCAAGUCCACAGACCUUCUAAAAAGCUUCAAUGUUUUCAGGUUAGAGUUAAAAUUACAGCAUGAUACACAUGUUCCUUCUCCCUUUUCUGGCCUUAUCUCUUAAUGUUUCCCCAUAAUCCAUUAAUUUGAGAUAACUACUAUGUACCAAAUAAUCUUUCCCUAUUUUCCAGUCAUGAAAAAAACAUUUUUAAAUGUGACAUAUUUAUAUCACUCUCUGUGCCUCUGCAUCUACCCAUUUUCAAACCGAUCCUUCAAAAGUCACCUUGACUGUCUCCUCUGAGAACUUCACUGACCAUCUCUCCAAAUACAAAAUUUAUUGCUCAUUUGUGCUCCCACUACACAAUCCAAUUCCCUUGAUUACUGGGAAUUAUCAUACCACAUUAUUCCUCCAGCCUCAAUUCUUCAGAUGUAAUGUUAAUUCCCCUGCUAUCCCUUGCACUUGGCACAAUGCCUGGGAAUGAACUAAGCUUAACACAUAUUCUUUAAAUGAUUCCCUCACCAAACCAAUUCAGAGUACGGCUCUAAUUUAUUUAUUUAUUUAUUUAUUUUUUGCUUUUUAGGGCUGAACCUGUGGCACAUGGAAGUUCCCAGGUUAGGGGUCUAAUGGGAGCUACAGCUGCUGGCCUAAGUCACAGCCACAGCCACACGGGAUCCGAGCCAUGUCUGCAACCUACACCACAGCUCAAGGCAACGCAGGAUCCCUGACCCACUGAGUGAAGCCAGGGAUCAAACCCACAUCCUCAUGGAUACUAGUCAGAUUCCACUGUGCCACGACAGGAACCAGUGAGAGAAUGGCUGUAUUAAGGAGAUAAAGUCAAAAUGUCUCCAAUUUCAUUAGUAACAUUAUUUUUAGCUCUGUUACCUAGUACUCAAGAAAACUACAUUAAUGAUUUAGUAAUCUGUGCAUUAGCCAUAGUGGCAAACAACUGGUAUUCAGACUAUUUUCCUAAAGAUCUACUGUGGAUUGGAAAAUAACUUAUUAACUGGAUUAUUUUUAACAGGUCUUUACAUUACAGCAGUGUCACCUCUUGGAACUAAACAUAUAUUUUAAAGAAAGUUUUCAUCUUCUAUUCCAGAACACUAUUUACAUGAUUUGGGGACACAGUGCAGUAAUAAAUCUCUUUGAUUACUAAUAGGAAAAUAAAAAAUAAUAAAACUCGCAAUAGAAUUACUCUGUGGAAGCAAACUGAAGAGAAUACAAACUAGCUACUACUCUUCAGUACUUUCUGAAUAUUUGAAUUGAUGCAAAAAUUAUUAAAAGUAUUAUUUAAAAUACUUUUUAUAAAGUAUUGACAUAGUGUUCUCUUCCAUUUCAGCUGAAGUUCCAAUUAUUGCAAGUAACAAAAAUGAAGUCAUAUAGCUAGUGUGAAAAUAAUUAAGAGGCAACUUAAUUAUCUACUUAAAUGUAAUGGAUGGUCCUAUGAAGAAAAGUGCAUUGACAGAGCAGAUUUUAAAAGUUGAGCUGGAUUCCUUUGUGUUUCAAGAAAAAGAUUACCCAAUCAUCUAUUUUUUAAUUGUUAAGAAUAAAAUUGAGGUCAAAACAUAUGAUUAAAGUGGCACUAAAGUAACAAUAGUAUUUAAAAAUUUGUUUCUCCCUUUUGUUUCUGAGCAUAGUUAUCUUUGGAAGGUAAUUUUGUGAAUAAAUAGAUCUGCUGUAAUAGUAAAUUCUAUCCUGUUUGAAAUAGAUUUGACAUUCUCUAUUUCUAUAGGAUUUGUUUUAAAAACUUAAUUACAUCUAGAGGUUUUACAAAGUGCAAAGCCUUAAACCCUCUCUUGUUGAAGAAAGCAAAAUAAUCUUUUUAUUGAAACAAACAUAAAACUCAAGGGAGUUCCUGUUGUAGUGCAUGGAAACGAAUCGACUAGUAUCCAUGAGAUCUGGGUUUGAUCCCUGGCCUCGAUCAGUGGUGAUCAAACCUGCAUCCUCAUGUAUACUAGUUAGGCUGGUUACCACGGGGCCACAAUGGAACCUUCUAAACAUUAUUUCAAGGCAGGACUAGCCUUGACUUCCUAUCUCUGGCCAAUAUUUUGAAUUACUUAAAAAUAAAAAUCAUUUUUUUCCUUUUGUUUUUAAGCUAUUUAAAAAUAUUACCCCCAAGCAUACUUUAUAUCAAUUUUAACAUACUAUUUAAGAAUCUAGGUUUCAACAUUGCCAGCUCCUGCACUUUUAUCUUCCUACUUAAAAACAUUCUCCAGUUGAUUUUGAAUUAUUUAAUGAAUUUCAUUUGUGAUCAUGAUACAAAUUCAUUCCAAGAAUGCAAUUUUGAUGAGUAAAUCAGGGUAGUUCAAGGGGAAAAAAAAGGAGAUAUUCAAGAAAUUGUUCAUGUUUACCCUUUCAUGUUUGAAAAUGUGGCCAUGAGAAACCAUAGCACAUCUGAAGCACAAGGACUCCACACUGCUAGAGGACAAUGUCAAGACAGACAACUGUGAGAGUUCAGUAAUCCUGCAAUAUCAGUAUUCUUUACUAAGGGUUGAUUCCUCAAGAAGAGAAGUCCAAAACCAUGUUAAGUUUCUGAGAGCGCUCCAGAUGUUCAGUACAAGAAAAAGCACAUCAUACAAGUCUUUUUUUUUUCUUUCUCUUUUUGCCAUUUCUUGGGCCACUCCCGAGGCAUAUGGAGGUUCCCAGGCUAGGGGUCUAAUCGGAGCUGUAGCUGUCAUCCUACGCCAGAGCCACAGCAACGCGGGAUCCGAGCCACGUCUGCAACCUACACCACAGCUCACGGCAACACCGGAUCCUUAACCCACUGAGCAAGGCCAGGGAUCGAACCCACAACCUCAUAGUUCCUAGUCGGAUUCAUUAACCACUGAGCCACGACGGGAACUCCAAGUCUUAAACAUUCUGUGAUUUUCAAAGUAUACUUUAUAGUUUUCCUUGAUCAAAAAUGUAUCUAAAGCUGGUAAAUUUCAAAUUGCACAAGAACAGGGUCUUAAAUGAGAUAUUCUGGUCAAAAGGCUUUCUUUUGGUCAUUAAAAAAUUUUUAGACACUAUUAAUUUCCUGCAGUUGAAAAUCAACACACUUUAAAUUCAAGAUAUACUACUCUACUCUCAGAAAGUAUCUUCUUCAAUCAUGGCCUAAAGCCAUAAUGUCAUUAUCACUGAUGCCAAUAACUAAAAAUAGGGUCUUUCCCGUCAUUUUUUUCAAGCACCUGCUCGUCAAUUACCAUCAACUGGCAGCCGGCUGGACAGCCAGCUCCCUUGAGCACAGAGUUCUUAGUUUCAACGUUUCAAUUCAUUACAGUCAGCCACCAUCUCCUCCAAAACCCUUUCAGAUUGUUUGUAAUUUCACAGAAUUUCCCAAAGUAGAACAUAUUUGAAAGAAUGGCAAAGAAU